GCCUCUCGAGCGUGAUCGGUAACGCACCCGUUUCGUAAUCGGGAGAAGCCAGUUCGAAUCUGGCGAGAGGCA
rnacentral:tRNA from 1 species